GAGCAGCCUAUGGAGGAGAAGAGAGAUUGAAGUGGACGCCAUGAGGUGUGUGGCUGCCUCUGGUUAUUGCCCUCUUUCUGCUCUUGUUGGUGCCUGCAUUCAGAAGCCUGAACAGGAAAGAUUUUCUGAUUUACAAAAUCCUGGCAGCAUUCUGUGGACAUCUGUUCCUCAUUGCCCGUCCUCAAAAUAACAGCUUGAAAUGUCUUCACAGACCUGAAGCUUCCUGUCAGAUUGGAAGCUUUGGAAGCUUAUCAUUGUUUUUCUCACUUCUCGGAUGUUGUUAACAGAUGAGCAACUACUUAACCACUGACCAAUUCCAAAAGGCAGAACCACUUGGAAGCAUGACCACGAUGACCUAUAUCUGCACUGGCAGUGGAGAAGGGCAGUCUCUUGGAGGUCUGAUAGUCACUGCACAAAUGAAGAAAUAUCCACUUGUACAGAUCUGAAUUUCUUCAUGUGCAGACAUGGUUGGGCACUUUUUGC